rnacentral:rRNA from 1 species
GACGAACGCUGGCGGCGUGCCUAAUACAUGCAAGUCGAACGAAGCUGUUUUAACUGGUGCUUGCACCGACUUAAACAACUGAGUGGCGAACGGGUGAGUAACACGUGGGUAACCUGCCCCAAAGCGGGGGAUAACAUUUGGAAACAGAUGCUAAUACCGCAUAACCACAGAAACCACAUGGUUUCUGUGUCAAAGAUGGUUUCGGCUAUCACUUUGGGAUGGACCCGCGGCGUAUUAGCUAGUUGGUAAGGUAAUGGCUUACCAAGGCAAUGAUACGUAGCCGAACUGAGAGGUUGAUCGGCCACAUUGGGACUGAGACACGGCAUAAACUCCUACGGGAGGCAGCAGUAGGGAAUCUUCCACAAUGGACGAAAGUCUGAUGGAGCAACGCCGCGUGAGUGAAGAAGGUUUUCGGAUCGUAAAACUCUGUUGUCAGAGAAGAACGUGUGCGAGAGUAACUGUUCGUGCAGUGACGGUAUCUGGCCAGAAAGCCACGGCUAACUACGUGCCAGCCGCCGCAGUAAAAC